rnacentral:rRNA from 1 species
CCCUUGUCCUUAGUUACCAGCACAUUAUGGUGGGCACUCUAAGGAGACUGCCGGUGACAAACCGGAGGAAGGUGGGGAUGACGUCAAGUCAUCAUGGCCCUUACGGCCUGGGCUACACACGUGCUACAAUGGUCGGUACAGAGGGUUGCCAAGCCGCGAGGUGGAGCUAAUCUCACAAAACCGAUCGUAGUCCGGAUCGCAGUCUGCAACUCGACUGCGUGAAGUCGGAAUCGCUAGUAAUCGCGAAUCAGAAUGUCGCGGUGAAUACGUU